rnacentral:snoRNA from 1 species
GGACUGCUUGUGCUUACCACAGACUGUGUUCUUACACUGACUGUAUAUAAAAAGGAGGCAAAGUACACCUACCCCAUAUGUACCUCAGCCCAGGCCCUAUGCCUUGUCUGUAUUGUGAAUGGGGAGACAUGG